GGCCUUGAGCCGUGGCUUUCGGAGCUAACGCGUUAAGUAGACCGCCUGGGGAGUACGGUCGCAAGAUUAAAACUCAAAUGAAUUGACGGGGGCCCGCACAAGCGGUGGAGCAUGUGGUUUAAUUCGAUGCAACGCGAAGAACCUUACCUACUCUUGACAUCCAGAGAACUUUCCAGAGAUGGAUUGGUGCCUUCGGGAACUCUGAGACAGGUGCUGCAUGGCUG
rnacentral:rRNA from 1 species